UUAGUUUCGGUUAAUUAGGUUAAUUUUGAUUAAUUAAUAAACUAAUUAAACUAUAUAAGACAAAAUUAAAAGAAAACAAAAGUCAUUUUCUUCCUCACACUCAUCUUCUUCACCGAAAUGAGAAAGAAAGAUGAGGGCUUUGAGCAUUUUAACUUUUGGUCCCUCAAAUUGUUAACUACCUAUUAGAGGUGAGAUGAACAUUACCAAAAAGUGAGAUGAAUGUUGCCAACUUUCUUUAUGACUUGGAGAAGUCCACUUGGUGAGUGGGAUCUUCUUUGUCAUGUUUUCCAAUUAGAGGGAAAUUAGACCAGUAAGAAAGCAAAUGAGCAGCAAGAAGCAGAUGAUUGGUUUAGUUUUGUAAACUCUUGGUUUAUUUUCCUUAUUUUGGAAUUUGUUUUGGUGUUGUAAUAACUUUGAUGGAUGCCUACAUACUUUUUGGUUGUGUUUUUGAAAUUGAUCCGUAAUUGACAUUCAUGUUUAUCACUAUGCUUGAUGAAUAAAUAUGCAUUUUGAUAA